rnacentral:rRNA from 1 species
GGGGGCUCGGAGUAUCCACUCCCAACCCAUGUGAACUUAUCUCUUUGUUGCCUCGGCGCAAGCUACCCGGGACCUCGCGCCCCGGGCGGCCCGCCGGCGGACAAACCAAAACUCUUGUUAUCUUAGUUGAUUAUCUGAGUGUCUUAUUUAAUAAGUCAAAACUUUCAACAACGGAUCUCUUGGUUCUGGCAUCGAUGAAGAACGCAGCGAAAUGCGAUAAGUAAUGUGAAUUGCAGAAUUCAGUGAAUCAUCGAAUCUUUGAACGCACAUUGCGCCCAUUAGUAUUCUAGUGGGCAUGCCUGUUCGAGCGUCAUUUCAACCCCUAAGCACAGCUUAUUGUUGGGAACCUACGGCUUCGUAGUUCCUCAAAGACAUUGGCGGAGUGGCAGUGGUCCUCUGAGCGUAGUAAUCUUUUAUCUCGCUUCUGUUAGGUGCUGCCCCCCCGGCCGUAAAACCCCCAAUUUUUUCUGGUUGACCUCGGAUCAGGUAGGAAUACCCGCUGAACUUAAGCAUAUCAAUAAGCGGAGGAA